rnacentral:rRNA from 1 species
AUUGAACGCUGGCGGCAGGCCUAACACAUGCAAGUCGAGCGAGCGACCGACGGGUGGGUAAUCUCUGGGAAACUGCCUGCUGGCUGGGGGUAAAUACUGGCAACGAUCGCUAAUACAGCCUACAUUCAGUUGUGUCCCGAUGGGAUUGGCUAGUAGGUGGGGUAAUGGCGCACCUAGGCGACGAUCCCUAGCUGGCCUGAGAGGAUGACCAGCCAGACUGGAACUGAGACAAGGUCCAGACUCCUACGGGAGGCAGCAGUGGGGAAUAUUGCACAAUGGGCGCAAGCCUGAUGCAGCCAUGCCGCGUGUAUGAAGAAGGCCUUCGGGUUGUAAAGUACUUUCAGCGGGGAGGCGUUACCCGCAGAAGAAGCACCGGCUAACUCCGUGCCAGCAGCCGCGGUAAUUC